UCAGCCUGAGGAAGUCUGCAGCCGCAAACGAAACGUAGCGGGAAAACAGGUAACAAAACUGUUCUGUUUUAAAAAAGAACUACAGCAUGGAAUCUGGUUCAUUUUCUUGAUUUCACCUUACAAACAUCUAACCCAUUGUUUUCAGCCUAACCCCUUCUUUCCACCGGAGCCGUCAGCAGCACGUCAUAGCUGCUGAUAGGAACCGCUGUGGUCAACAGAACCUUUUCCACUGGAGCCGUCAGCAGCGCGAGUCGGCCGCGUCUCAGGAGCAGCAUGUCGCGGCCCUUACGCGCCGGUUCUAUUUUCUACGCACGACGCCUCUGAAACGGGUCAGUUCGACAUUUUUGGAGUAAGGUCUAGCUGCAGACGUAGCUCCGUCCAAACACGCCCCGACAAAACACGCGUGCAUGUACGAAGACGAGAACUCGCAUGUGUGUUGCAACAGAUGGAAAUGACAGUUCAGGUAAAGACAGAUUUAUAUUUUUACAACUUGCGAAGAUUUUGUACUAGAAAUUUGAACGUUUAAGACAUAGUUUGAUAGAUAGCGCAUUCGUGAUUUUUUUUCUGAAACACUUUUAUAUAAAAUUAAGCAUUAUUGGCAGUGGGGGAAGACGUCAUGGAUGCAAAUUUCUUAAUAUAAUUUUUAAUGGAAGCCUUUUGGCCAAAAUAAACGUAACAAUAGGCUAUUUAUUUGACCGUUUAUGACUCCUCAUCUAAUAAGCAGCAAACUCACGAAGGCAAUGUGGUAGCCCGGAGGUAUUCUACAAACACAAGAACAGUGCUAAUGCCUAUAUGUAUUGUUUUCACAUUGUUUAUGACAGCCUCUAGGUAUGAAUGUCAUUUUUACUAAUUGCUAUUUAUCUUUGUCUCAUUAGUGAGAGGCAGCUGAUGUCCUAUGCCAUGGAAAAAAACAUGAGCAAGGAGGCUAAACAGAAACUGCUCAUGUACACUGAGAAACUCAGAAAAGCUCUGGACUGGUCUGAAUUUGUGAAGAGGCUGUAGCAUUGUGUGGACAUUUUUAUUAUUAUUAUUUUGGAAGGUUUUUGUAAGGCCAAUAAAAGUUGUUGAUGGUUGUUUCAUUUGUCUGAACUUUUUUUUCUAAAGCCAAACUUUUCUGCUUUUGUGUUUACAGAAUAUUCUUUACAGAUUAGUGUAUGGUCAAUAUCAGUUUACUAGUCUUGUGAAUCGUAUACUUAAUGCAAAAUAUUUUAGUAAUUUCUAAAUCAAUACAUUUUGUGUCAAAGGGCCAGCAAUUAUUCCUGUUAACAGAAUAUAUGAAAUGCAUGUAUACACACAUGUAAAUAUGCCUACAAAUUACACAUCAGCAGCUUUUCACUGUAAAGAAGCAAUAAAAAAUCAUAAAUAGUAACAUAAAUAUUAACUACUCACUUUUAUGAACUUAGACCUACUGUUAGUGCCUGUAAUAACAAAUGGUUGAAAGUUAAAUGUUGCUGUAGGAGGCGUGCUCCCACAUAAAUGGAGGCUAGUGGGCUUAAGGGGUUAAUUAAAAUGAUUACCACUAAUUACUUUUUCUGAUAUUUAAUUUUAUUGCAUUUAAAAUAAACACUUGCACAUACAUGAUUACUCACCUGCUAACUUAAAGAGCAAGUAACGUCUAAAUUCACUUUUUUUUGCUGAUGAACUGUAUAAAUGAGUGUCUAAUAGUGUUUUAAAUGUGUGCAUUCUUUAUUUUAGCAUUUUGGUGCAUUUUCUUUAAAAAUUAAAAAUUCUGUCUAAAAACCACAGUAAUGCGCCACCUUCAGCUGAAAACAUAGAAUUUGAGUCAUUUUGAAUAAAUUUUAGCCAAUGGCUAAAGAGUAAAGUACUACGUAAACCAGUAGUAUAAAAGCAACGAGCGUCUCGGCCACGCCCUGUGGCGAGUGGGAGUUGGAUUUGCAAGUGAGUGUAGGAGGUCAGCGUAGUUCAGCAUUAGCAUAUAGCAUUAGCAUAUCCUAGUCUUAGCAUAUCUUUUAGUGUUAUAAAUACUUAUUUAGUGUUAGAUUUGGCUGUUUGAUAUUGUAGUUUAGUUAGUGUUUGGCUGUUAGUGUAAUUGGGAAAGUAUUUCGGGUUUAGUGCUCCAUAUCGUGUUAGUAUUGGUGAAUAGGUGUAGUGUAGUAUGCUUGCGGUGACUCUGUGGGCAUUUUACCCACGAUUCUGCACGUCUCCGUUUGAAGAGGGAGGCUGCCCACCGUGGCUCUUCCGCGAUUUAGAUGCAGCCCACCGACUCUGCUCCCCCACCACGGUGGGCUCCAGUCUGAGGUGAGUAAGCUAAAUAAACGUUUUAACAUCUUCUAAAGACAAUUCCCUACCUAAAUGCAAAGUUUGAGAGACGUGGUUCACUUCCUUUAGCUAGUCAGUUGGCAAUUCUGCAACAGUGUCUCUAACUAACGCUGCACUAGUUGACAGACAGCAUUACAGCGUGAAAUCCAGCUUGUGAACAGGUUCUGUGAGGAAUUCUGUUCAGGAGGUCGCAUUUCAGGCUCUCCACAUCAUGUGUGACUGACUUUUACGUUAUAAUGAUCACACACUAGGAAUGUUAUAAAGCGCCUAUAUGGGACAGUUUCUUUUGUAUAUUAUCUGACUUUAUAAACUCUCAACAACAAUGUGCUUAUAUAUUUUUUUCAGGCUAAAUCUACCCAAGACACUGGCUGUCAGACUGAUUUAGCUGCAAGAAUGCACUUGUCCAGGCUGACGUGAAACCUUCCCUGUAGCAAAGCCAGCCAGAAUGGAGUUCACAGCCGCAGUGUGUCUGGUGACCCACAGGGACCAUGAUGAAAAUUCAUCUUCCAGAAGGUCCCAGAGCAGCGGCCACACCCCCUGAAAAGACCAAGGUGUGAGGUGUCUGCUGUUGAUUCCAGCUUCCACCUCAGUGACAGUGCAAGCUCAGUGAACUGUUCAAGGACACUCAGCAAAAUAUGGACUCUACACCAUGAGGCAGGCACACGUUAAUAACUCUAUAAGAGCACAUAAGCAUGAGGAUGUCCUCACACACCUGUAACCUAUCAGCUCAUCUGGCAGAAUAGAGAGAGAAGAGACAACACCACAUCUCCUGUUCCUGGAAAGCCUUCAGCCAUCCUUCGAUGACUGAGAACCUCCAUCAGCUCUGUCUCCUGUCUGCCUACAAUUAUUAUAAUAAAUAUUGUGUUUGACAAGUUUUUU